AAAUACUCCUGACUGACCGAUAGUGAACCAGUACCGUGAGGGAAAGGCGAAAAGAACCCCGGCGAGGGGAGUGAAAAAGAACCUGAAACCGUGUACGUACAAGCAGUGGGAGCACAGAGCAAUCUGUGUGACUGCGUACCUUUUGUAUAAUGGGUCAGCGACUUAUAUUCUGUAGCAAGGUUAACCGAAUAGGGGAGCCGAAGGGAAACCGAGUCUUAACUGGGCGUUAAGUUGCAGGGUAUAGACCCGAAACCCGGUGAUCUAGCCAUGGGCAGGUUGAAGGUUGGGUAACACUAACUGGAGGACCGAACCGACUAAUGUUGAAAAAUUAGCGGAUGACUUGUGGCUGGGGGUGAAAGGCCAAUCAAACCGGGAGAUAGCUGGUUCUCCCCGAAAGCUAUUUAGGUAGCGCCUCGUGAAUUCAUCUCCGGGGGUAGAGCACUGUUUCGGCAAGGGGGUCAUCCCGACUUACCAACCCGAUGCAAACUGCGAAUACCGGAGAAUGUUAUCACGGGAGACACACGGCGGGUGCUAACGUCCGUCGUGAAGAGGGAAACAACCCAGACCGCCAGCUAAGGUCCCAAAGUCAUGGUUAAGUGGGAAACGAUGUGGGAAGGCCCAGACAGCCAGGAUGUUGGCUUAGAAGCAGCCAUCAUUUAAAGAAAGCGUAAUAGCUCACUGGUCGAGUCGGCCUGCGCGGAAGAUGUAACGGGGCUAAACCAUGCACCGAAGCUGCGGCAGCGACACUGUGUGUUGUUGGGUAGGGGAGCGUUCUGUAAGCCUGUGAAGGUGUGCUGUGAGGCAUGCUGGAGGUAUCAGAAGUGCGAAUGCUGACAUAAGUAACGAUAAAGCGGGUGAAAAGCCCGCUCGCCGGAAGACCAAGGGUUCCUGUCCAACGUUAAUCGGGGCAGGGUGAGUCGACCCCUAAGGCGAGGCCGAAAGGCGUAGUCGAUGGGAAACAGGUUAAUAUUCCUGUACUUGGUGUUACUGCGAAGGGGGGACGGAGAAGGCUAUGUUGGCCGGGCGACGGUUGUCCCGGUUUAAGCGUGUAGGCUGGUUUUCCAGGCAAAUCCGGAAAAUCAAGGCUGAGGCGUGAUGACGAGGCACUACGGUGCUGAAGCAACAAAUGCCCUGCUUCCAGGAAAAGCCUCUAAGCAUCAGGUAACAUCAAAUCGUACCCCAAACCGACACAGGUGGUCAGGUAGAGAAUACCAAGGCGCUUGAGAGAACUCGGGUGAAGGAACUAGGCAAAAUGGUGCCGUAACUUCGGGAGAAGGCACGCUGAUAUGUAGGUGAAGUCCCUCGCGGAUGGAGCUGAAAUCAGUCGAAGAUACCAGCUGGCUGCAACUGUUUAUUAAAAACACAGCACUGUGCAAACACGAAAGUGGACGUAUACGGUGUGACGCCUGCCCGGUGCCGGAAGGUUAAUUGAUGGGGUCAGCGCAAGCGAAGCUCUUGAUCGAAGCCCCGGUAAACGGCGGCCGUAACUAUAACGGUCCUAAGGUAGCGAAAUUCCUUGUCGGGUAAGUUCCGACCUGCACGAAUGGCGUAAUGAUGGCCAGGCUGUCUCCACCCGAGACUCAGUGAAAUUGAACUCGCUGUGAAGAUGCAGUGUACCCGCGGCAAGACGGAAAGACCCCGUGAACCUUUACUAUAGCUUGACACUGAACAUUGAGCCUUGAUGUGUAGGAUAGGUGGGAGGCUUUGAAGUGUGGACGCCAGUCUGCAUGGAGCCGACCUUGAAAUACCACCCUUUAAUGUUUGAUGUUCUAACGUGGACCCGUGAUCCGGGUUGCGGACAGUGUCUGGUGGGUAGUUUGACUGGGGCGGUCUCCUCCUAAAGAGUAACGGAGGAGCACGAAGGUUGGCUAAUCCUGGUCGGACAUCAGGAGGUUAGUGCAAUGGCAUAAGCCAGCUUGACUGCGAGCGUGACGGCGCGAGCAGGUGCGAAAGCAGGUCAUAGUGAUCCGGUGGUUCUGAAUGGAAGGGCCAUCGCUCAACGGAUAAAAGGUACUCCGGGGAUAACAGGCUGAUACCGCCCAAGAGUUCAUAUCGACGGCGGUGUUUGGCACCUCGAUGUCGGCUCAUCACAUCCUGGGGCUGAAGUAGGUCCCAAGGGUAUGGCUGUUCGCCAUUUAAAGUGGUACGCGAGCUGGGUUUAGAACGUCGUGAGACAGUUCGGUCCCUAUCUGCCGUGGGCGCUGGAGAACUGAGGGGGGCUGCUCCUAGUACGAGAGGACCGGAGUGGACGCAUCACUGGUGUUCGGGUUGUCAUGCCAAUGGCACUGCCCGGUAGCUAAAUGCGGAAGAGAUAAGUGCUGAAAGCAUCUAAGCACGAAACUUGCCCCGAGAUGAGUUCUCCCUGACCCUUUAAGGGUCCUGAAGGAACGUUGAAGACGACGACGUUGAUAGGCCGGGUGUGUAAGCGCAGCGAUGCGUUGAGCUAACCGGUACUAAUGAACCGUGAGGCUUAACCUUACAACGCCGAAGGUGUUU
rnacentral:rRNA from 1 species